GCAUAUCAAUAAGCGGAGGAAAAGAAACCAACAGGGAUUGCCUUAGUAGCGGCGAGUGAAGCGGCAAAAGCUCAAAUUUGAAAUCUGGCACCUUCGGUGUCCGAGUUGUAAUUUGAAGAUUGUAACCUUGGGGUUGGCUCUUGUCUAUGUUUCUUGGAACAGGACGUCACAGAGGGUGAGAAUCCCGUGCGAUGAGAUGCCCAAUCCUAUGUAAGGUGCUUUCGAAGAGUCGAGUUGUUUGGGAAUGCAGCUCUAAGUGGGUGGUAAAUUCCAUCUAAAGCUAAAUAUUGGCGAGAGACCGAUAGCGAACAAGUACAGUGAUGGAAAGAUGAAAAGAACUUUGAAAAGAGAGUGAAAAAGUACGUGAAAUUGUUGAAAGGGAAGGGUUUGAGAUCAGACUCGAUAUUUUGUGAGCCUUGCCUUCGUGGCGGGGUGACCCGCAGCUUAUCGGGCCAGCAUCGGUUUGGGCGGUAGGAUAAUGGCGUAGGAAUGUGACUUUGCUUCGGUGAAGUGUUAUAGCCUGCGUUGAUGCUGCCUGCCUAGACCGAGGACUGCGAUUUUAUCAAGGAUGCUGGCAUAAUGAUCCCAA
rnacentral:rRNA from 1 species